GGUCCGAUGCCACGUCGUCUGUAGCCAAAGAGCAGUGACCGGCGAUGCUAUUAUCGGACCGAAAUGAAUAUCAUGUUUCGCCCGCUGAUAGGAACCUGUGGAUCUGAUUAAUUGUAGUCCUCGGUUCCGUUUUCGGCGAUUACAGUU